GGGUGCGAUCAUACCAGCACUAAUGCAUCGGAUCCUAUCGGAACUCCGAAGUCAAGUGUGCUUGGGCGAGAAUGCUACUAAGACGAGCAUUGUCGUAGGACUUCCACAGUCACAAGCA
rfam:Cephalotus follicularis DNA, scaffold: scaffold18, isolate: St1.